rnacentral:rRNA from 1 species
UACGGGGGGGCAAGCGUUGUUCGGAAUUACUGGGCGUAAAGGGCUCGUAGGCGGCCAACUAAGUCGGAUGUGAAAUCCCCAGGCUUAACCUGGGGAAUGCAUCCGAUACUGGAUGGCUUGAAUCCGGGAGAGGGAUGCAGAAUUCCAGGUGUAGCGGUGAAAUGCGUAGAUAUCUGGAGGAAUACCGGUGGCGAAGGCGGCAUCCUGGACCGGCAUUGACGCUGAUGAGCGAAAAGCUAGGGGAGCAAACGGGG